rnacentral:rRNA from 1 species
GAUGAACGCUGGCGGCGUGCCUAAUACAUGCAAGUCGAGCGAACGGACGAGAAGCUUGCUUUUCUGAUGUUAGCGGCGGACGGGUGAGUAACACGUGGAGAACCUACCUAUAAGACUGGGAUAACUUCGUGAAACCGGAGCUAAUACCGGAUAAUAUUUUGAACCUCAUGGUUCAAAAGUGAAAGACGGUCUUGCUGUCACUUAUAGAUGGAUCCGCGCUGCAUUAGCUAGUUGGUAAGGUAACGGCUUACCAAGGCAACGAUGCAUAGCCGACCUGAGAGGGUGAUCGGCAACACUGGAACUGAGAAACGGUCCAGACUCCUACGGGAGGCAGAAGUAGGGAAUCUUCCGAAAUGGGCGAAAGCCUGACGGAGCAACGCCGCGUGAGUGAUGAAGGUCUUCGGAUCGUAAAACUCUGUUAUUAGGGAAGAACAUAUGUGUAAGUAACUGUGCACAUCUUGACGGUACCUAAUCAGAAAGCCACGGCUAACUACGUG